CUGAUUUAACGACGUUUCUUCUGAGUGGUACAAGCAAAUAAUCAAAACUUUUAACAACGGAUCUCUUGGUUCUGGCAUCGAUGAAGAACGCAGCGAAAUGCGAUAAGUAAUGUGAAUUGCAGAAUUCAGUGAAUCAUCGAAUCUUUGAACGCACAUU
rnacentral:rRNA from 1 species